UUGCUGUACCACUCCUUUUCUGGAGUUUUACUUUCUUCCAACAAGGAAGGCAAGUUUUCCUGCUUCCAUAAUGAUGGAAGGCAGUGACUCCUUUCCGGAGUUUGAACUCGCUUCCAACAGGGAAGGCAAGUUUGAAUUUUUUUCUGCUUCUAGAAUGGUAGAGAGCAGUCUAAGACCCACUCCGAGGUUAAGUAGCUGAAUUAGGGUCUUGGCUUGGCUAAAGUUGCGAUUAACAGCCAGCUGGUCUUAAUUUCUCCUCACCAUUAGAAUACUCAGUAAUUAUAUUGUGAGGGUAUUUUUGUUGUUUGUUCCCGUCUUUCUGUCAUCAGAUUUGACCAACUCCAAUCAUGGAUAACAAGGCCUCCCUGACUGAAUUGGCUAAAAUUCCUCGCGCCUGCAAAAGAGUAAAAACAAAACAAAACAAAACCAUGCACUUGGUUUCUGUUUUUGCUUCCUGUCUUAGAAAAGCAAUUGUUCUUUCAUUUACUUUUCUUUCCCCUUAUUCCUCCUUCUCCCUGCGCCAUUUUUGGUAACAAGAAAAUCUAGAGACUUCUAAUGACUUGAACCCUUUAAAUAACUCAAAACAAAGCGCCAUGUUUUCUUUGUGGAGUUUCAAGAGUUAUGGGCAGAUUCUCUUUAGGUCUAAAACUGUUCUCUCCUGUAUUUGUAUUACCUAACCCCUUUGGCUUUUGGGGGUACCAGAGAUUACCUUGUACUAUGAGAGGAUUUGACCAUGGUGUGUAAUUGAGAGGUGACAGCAUGCUGGCAGUCCUCACAGCCCUCGCUGGCUCUGGGCGCCUCCUCUGCCUGGGCUCCCACUUUGGCGGCACUUGAGCCCUUCAGCCCGCCGCUGCACUGUAGGAGCCCCUUUCUUGGCUGGCCAAGGCCGGAGCCGGCUCCCUCAGCUUGUGGGGAGGUGUGGAGGGAGAGGCGCUGGCGGGAACCGGGGCGGCGCAUGGUGCUUGCGGGCCAGCGCGAGUUCCGGGUGGGCGUGGUCUUGGCAGACCACGCACUCGGAGCGGCCCGCCGGCACCACCGGCUCUGGGCAGUGAGGGGCUUAGCACCUGGGCCGGCAGCUGCUGUGCUCAAUUUCUCGCCAGGCCUUAGCUGCCUUCCCGCGGGGCAGAGCUUGGGACCUGCAGCCCACCAUGCCUGAGCCUCCGCCCCCUCCGUGGGCUCCUGUGCCUCCCGAGCCUCCCCGACUAGUGUCGCCCCCUGCUCCACGGCGCCCAGUCCCAUCGACGGCCCAAGGGCUGAGGAGUGCGGGCGCUCGGCGCGGGACUGUCAGGCAGCUCCACCUGCAGCCCCGGUGCGGGAUACACUGGGUGAAGCCAGCUGGGCUCCUGAGUCUGGUGGGGACUUGGAGAACCUUUAUGUCUAGCUAAGGGAUUGUAAAUACACCAAUCAGCACCGUGUGUCUAGCUCAGGGUUUGUGAAUGCACCUAAUGGACACUCUGUAUCUAGCUAGUCUGGUGGGGACGUGGAGAACCUUUGUAUCUAGCUCAGGUAUUGUAAACGCACCAAUCAGCGCCCUGUCAAAACAGACCACUCAGCUGUUGUGACCCUGUCAAAACAGACCCAUCAGCAGGAUGCAGGUGGGGCCAGAUAAGAAAAUAAAAGCAGGCUGCUCGAGCCAGCAGUGGCAACCAGCUUGGUCCCCUUCCACACUGCGGAAGCUUUGUUCUUUUGCUCUUUGGGUCCACGCUGCCUUUAUGAGCUGUAACACUCACCAGGAAGGUCUGCAGCUUCACUCCUGAGCCAGCGAGACCAGGAACCCACCAGAAGGAACAAACUCCGGACACUCCGCCUUUAAGAACUGUAACACUCACCACGAGGGUCUGCAGCUUCAUUCUUGAAGUCAGUGAGACCAAGAAGCCACCAAUUCCGGACACAUAAUGGUGAAUGAGAACUACAAAGUUAAAGAUGGCUGAUGACGGUUUUCAGGAAGUGGUCUUGGCUUUUUUUUUUUUUUUCCUCCUAGGAAGUUGUUGUUUAGGAUCCUAAUUCUAAUUCAGAGGUGCAUUCUAAAGAGUAUUCUCCAUUGCCUUGCCUACUGGUAUUAAUUUCGAUUGGCUUGUUUGCGUAUUUGCAUGAGGAACCGAACUGUCGUUUUCAUAAACAAACGAAAAACUGAGUUUUCUCAGCUCUGAAGAAAAAGGGCAUUUUGCUCCUCCCAGCUGAAAGGCGCCCCUGGGUAACCAGGGGCCAAGUGGGAGUGUCUGGGGGGGUUGACCUCCCCCGCCCCCCCCCACAAUGUGCAGUGUCCCUACAGGGAACUCCUAACAAAAUUAGUUUUAAAAUGCUCAUACAGGAAGUGCAUAUAGAAGCUGAUCACUCCACACUUUGAGCCCUCCUGGAGGUGCUAGACCAAUGGAGAGAGAAACUGAGGCAAGUAAGAGGGCGGAAAUGAAUCAGUGGUGACACACUAUGAAGUCCCACACAGAAUCAGCACACACGACUCACUCCACUAAAAACCUUGGCCACAGCUCAGUUCCUCAUUUUGAGAAAAAAAAAAUGUGAAAAACAAAUCGUCUAUGAAUAAUGAAAGACAAGAAGAGUGACCCCUCUCAGGCACCCUAUUUGGUUUUAUGGUGCCCCUACUUGCAGGUGGUUGUGUAAAUGGAAGGGCACGCCAGGUUUUUCAGUUCUCCAGGUGGUUACACAUUAGGUCUGUUCUUGUGAACAUUUUAAAUUGACAGGUAAAUUGCAUUAAGGAAAAUUCAGAGCCUGAAGGUCGACCUGCACCUAUAAAGUUCCCAAGUUCUCCAUCACUCUGUUUUCUUUUCUGCCUGUUUUAAGUCUGCUGUGACUUCUCUACUGAGAUAAAAAUCCACUGUUUGCAUCCAACCAUUUAUUUUGCUAUAGUUUUUGCAAACCAAUGAGUUUGUAUUAAUAUCUUAUGGCUAGGGUUCUGAAGUAAAAGCUAUAGGAUCUUUGCAUGAGUUUAUAUGUGUGGGUUUAUGUAUAUGUACACAUAUUUUGUAACAUGUUUUUGGCCACUAGGUACAAAAUUUGGCUUAAAGAAUACUCAAAAACUAAAUAAUCCCAAAUGCUUUUCAAGUUCAUGUGAAUUAGGUAAAAUCUUUAAUAAGCUAGCUUUAAAGUUAUUUGUAAAGGAAUAUUACAAAUGUGUUAAGAAAUGUCUGCACACAUUUUUGUUUGCAUUUAUUGAUCAAGAGAUGUCAUACUUAUUAUUGUCAAAUACUAUAAGUCGUCAAAAUUUGACAUAAGGGUUAUUAAACUAUAAACUCAGCCCAAAACAGAAUUAUCUUCGCUUGUAUUUUUUAUAAAUAAGACAUUAAUAUUGGUUUAAUGAAAACAGCCCAGUCUUUAAUUAUUUAGUAAAAUAACCAUAUGUUGACUCUUAAGUUUCUUAUGUAAACACUUGAAAUUCACAGGCUAUAAAAUGGCUGACAGGCAAAUAACUUUAAAUGAUCACUAUCUCAGUUUUCAUAAAUUAGGUAAACUAGUAAAAUAAAACAAUUAGGAAAAGGUAAUGGGAUAAAUACUUGUAGAAAAAUUUGUCAUAAUUUAGAACCUAAAGUUAAAUUAAAUAAUGGAUUUUUUAAAUGGGUAUUUUCCAAUUAAAAAAUAUAUAUAAUAGAAAAGCAUUUUUUCCUACAAAAAACUGUGUUGAUGCUAAAAGGUGAAUAAUUUUUGUCUAAUUCAAAGCUCAUUUAAAGGUUAUGUAUAAAACAAGGUAAAAGGAACCAGGAAUUAAGAAAUAAGAAAGACGUAAAGAAAGUUAUAGAAAUAUGGAGGGCAUUUUUGGUAAAGAAAGCUUAAAGAAAAAUAAUUUUAUGAGAAAGAAACUUGUACGGUAAAAUUUUGCCCUAGAAUAAAAUGAUUGUCUAAGAAAGAGGGAUGUUCAGGGCAAACCAUGUACCAAGCAUGUCAUGUGUGGUCUGUGAGAGACAUAAUAAGAGGAUUUAUAUUAAAAAAAAAACCAAAAAACUUCUCUAUGAUCUAGUUGUCUAUAAUUAAAGGAAAAUUAUUUAUUAUGGUCUUUCUAGAGAUUGGGUUUUGAUAUGUAAAGAAAACCCACUUAUAUGCUAAAUAAUUGCUUAGAACAAUAAGACUUUUUAAGGAAUUGUUUUACUCUUAAUAAAAUUACAAAACAUAAUAUAUAUUACGCAAAGUUCAAUGUUUAUUGCGUCUCAUUCUCAGCUCCUUUAAGUUUUCUUUUUUUUUUCUUUCUUUCCUCGGGUUCUGUUUGUUGUGGCCUGAUGAUAAAAAUGUUUUAUGUUAAAGGUCUACAGGAAGUGUUUUCUUCCAACAAAAUAUUCUGUGCUCCUGGCUUCAAAUUGUUCUACAAAUCCAAAAAUUUUCACGUAUGACCCAGAAAACACCUCCUAUGUCUAAUUCAAGUACCGCUUUCAGUAGAUCUGACUUGCAGGUUAUCUAAAUGUACUCCGCAUAGGGAACAGCAGUCACACUGCGGAAGCUCUUUUCUUUUGCCUUUUGGUAACUGGCCUAACAAAUUUUGUUUUAUCACAAUAAUUCCUAUGUCAUUAUUAUUCAGUGCUGGUUUGCUUAGAAGACGACUGCGAUUUUUUUGUAAUUAAAUGUAUUGCAUCUGUGUAACUUUUUGUAUGUGCUUUUAAAGUCUUUAUGCCAUUCAGUUACAGUGCUUUGACUCCUGGGUCUAAAAAGAACCCCAAGUCACACAGCAUUUGCUAUUUCCUUGAUAAGCAGUAUCAUAUUGUGGCUAAAGAAAGGAUUUUAGCAUCAGAAAGACCUGAAUUUAAAUUCUAAACUCACUACUUUCCAAUUAUGAGGCCUCAGGCAAGGUAUUUAAUCUCUCUAUAACUCAGCUCCCUCAUCUUAAAAAGUGUCAGCUAAAUCUUAAAAAGUGACAGCAGUUAAAGCCUUGUCUUCAGACCCAGUAGAAGAUGCCAAUCAAAAUAGUGCAUUCGUGAGACACAGAGCCAGAAAUUAAAACUAUGCAACUCAAGGCCCAAGGACUAUCGUGGAAGAGGUUGUAAUGGCGGAUUUUGAGAGAUAAACUAAGUUCAGCUUCUUUAGAAAUUAAUCGUUAAUGUCAGAGGCACACUGUGCAAGACUAGCAUAUAGGAUUCUGUGUCAGAUUAACUAGGUUUUCCUGCG
rnacentral:lncRNA from 10 species